CUGAAAAUGACAUCACAGUUGCUCAGGAAACAAAGGGAAACUCUUGGAAGGCAAAAGCAACAUCCUGAGCUGGUGAGGAGACAGCAGAGGUGCUGACACGCCGACAGGCAGGGGAUCCUGGGAAAAGCCGCAGACAGGAAGAGCCUGACUGGCUUUGACCCGCCGGGUCAAGGCUGGGGGCUCGGCAACUGAAAGAUGUUUCCAAGCCACACUUGCGCGAUCAUCCACUUUUUUACAGGAAACAACUUCCAAAUGCUGCGAGCAGACGGAAGGGUGGAGAGGCGCCUCCUGACCAGUUGGUGGUGCUCCCGUCACAGUCAAUUCCCGCCGACAGCGCUU